AGAGUUGAUCAUGCUCNGACGAACGCUGGCGGCGUGAAUAGGUUNGCCAAGUUGNGCGAACGCACGGGGCUUCGGCCCCCGUGAACGGAAGCAGCGAAACGGGGUGAGUAACAACGUUGAACAAUCCAGUCCUCACGUUCCGGGAUUAUUGGCCGAAAGGCCNUUGUAAUACUGGCGAGGGUCGUGAUCGGGCAUCUCAUUACGAAGGAAGGUCAGGAGCAAUCCUGCCCGCGCGAGGAGGGGUUCGCGGCCUAUCAGUUAGUUGGUGGGGUAAUGGCCUACCAAGACGACGACGGGUAGCUGGUCUGAGAGGAUGGUCAGCCACAUUGGAACUGAGAUACUGUCCAGACUCCUACGGGAGGCUGCAGUCGAGAAUCUUGGGCAAUGCACGAAAGUGUGACCCAGCGACGCCGCGUGGAGGAUGAAGGCCCUUGGGUUGUAAACUCCUUUUAUGGGGGAAGAAUGUCUCUUCGGAGACUUGACGGUGCCCCUUGAAUAAGCCACGGCUAACUACGUGCCAGCAGCCGCGGUAAUACGUAGGUGGCAAGCGUUGUCCGGAUUUACUGGGCGUAAAGCGUAUGCAGGCGGGUCUUUAAGUAGAAAGUGAAAGGUUGGGGCUCAACCCCGACACUGCUCUCUAUACUGGAGGCCUUGAGUACCGGAGAGGAAGAUGGAACUACACGUGUAGCGGUGAAAUGCGUUGAGAUGUGUAGGAACACCAAUAGCGAAAGCAAUCUUCUGGACGGUCACUGACGCUGAGAUACGAAAGCCAAGGGAGCGAACAGGAUUAGAUACCCUGGUAGUC
rnacentral:rRNA from 1 species